rnacentral:rRNA from 1 species
GACGAACGCUGGCGGCGUGCUUAACACAUGCAAGUCGUACGGUAAGGCCCUUUCGGGGGUACACGAGUGGCGAACGGGUGAGUAACACGUGAGUAACCUGCCCACAACUUUGGGAUAACGCUAGGAAACUGGUGCUAAUACUGGAUAUGUGCUCCUGCUGCAUGGUGGGGGUUGGAAAGCUCCGGCGGUUGUGGAUGGACUCGCGGCCUAUCAGCUUGUUGGUGGGGUAGUGGCCUACCAAGGCGGCGACGGGUAGCCGGCCUGAGAGGGUGACCGGCCACAUUGGGACUGAGAUACGGCCCAGACUCCGACGGGAGGCAGCAGGGGGGAAUAUUGCACAAUGGGCGCAAGCCUGAUGCAGCAACGCCGCGUGCGGGAUGACGGCCUUCGGGUUGUAAACCGCUUUCAGCAGGGAAGAAGCUUUUUGUGACGGUACCUGCAGAAGAAGCACCGGCUAACUACGUG